UUUAUGGAGAGUUUGAUCCUGGCUCAGGAUGAACGCUGGCGGCGUGCCUAAUACAUGCAAGUCGAGCGAACGGAUGAGAAGCUUGCUUCUCUGAUGUUAGCGGCGGACGGGUGAGUAACACGUGGAUAACCUACCUAUAAGACUGGGAUAACUUCGGGAAACCGGAGCUAAUACCGGAUAAUAUUUUGAGCCGCAUGGUUCAAAAGUGAAAGACGGUCUUGCUGUCACUUAUAGAUGGAUCC
rnacentral:rRNA from 1 species